AACGCGGUAGAGAAGACGGUAACUCGCUGGACUCAUUCUCCAGAGGUCGCAGGUUCGAGUCCUGCCCGCGCCA
rnacentral:tRNA from 1 species